rnacentral:rRNA from 1 species
AGAGUUUGAUCCUGGCUCAGGAUGAACACUGGCGGCGUGCCUAACACAUGCAAGUCGAACGGGAACAGAAUGAAACCUAGUGAUUUCUGUUUCAGUGGCGGACGGGUGAGUAACGCGUGGGUAACCUGCCUUGCACUGGGGGAUAACACUUAGAAAUAGGUGCUAAUACCGCAUAAGCGCACAAUACCGCAUGGUAGAGUGUGAAAAACUCCGGUGGUGCAAGAUGGACCCGCGUCUGAUUAGCCAGUUGGCGGGGUAACGGCCCACCAAAGCGACGAUCAGUAGCCGGCCUGAGAGGGUGAACGGCCACAUUGGGACUGAGACACGGCCCAAACUCCUACGGGAGGCAGCAGUGGGGAAUAUUGCACAAUGGGGGAAACCCUGAUGCAGCAACGCCGCGUGAGUGAAGAAGUCAUUCGUGAUGUAAAGCUCUAUCAGCAGGGAAGAAAAUGACGGUACCUGACUAAGAAGCCCCGGCUAACUACGUGCCAGCAGCCGCGGUAAUACGUAGGGGGCAAGCGUUAUCCGGAUUUACUGGGUGUAAAGGGAGCGUAGACGGCGAGACAAGUCUGAAGUGAAAUGCCAGUGCUCGACACUGGAACUGCUUUGGAAACUGCCUGGCUGGAGUGCGGGAGAGGUAAGUGGAAUUCCUAGUGUAGCGGUGAAAUGCGUAGAUAUAUGGAAGAACACCAGUGGCGAAGGCGGCCGCCUGGCCUGUUGCUGACGCUGAGGCACGAAAGCGUGGGGAGCAAAUAGGAUUAGAUACCCUAGUAGUCCACGCCGUAAACGAUGAGGACCAAGUGUUGGGGGUGAAACCUCAGUGCUGAAGUUAACGCAGUGAGUCCCCCGCCUGGGGAGUAUGCACGCAAGUGUGAAACUCAAAGGAAUUGACGGGGGCCCGCACAAGCGGUGGAGUAUGUGGUUUAAUUCGAAGCAACGCGAAGAACCUUACCAGGCCUUGACAUGGGAUGCGAAGAUGCAGAGAUGCAUCGGAGGUCAACAUCCACACAGGUGGUGCAUGGUUGUCGUCAGCUCGUGUCGUGAGAUGUUGGGUCAAGUCCCGCAACGAGCGCAACCCUUGUGUCAUGUUGCUAACAGGAAAAGCUGAGGACUCAUGCCAGACUGCCGGUGACAAACCGGAGGAAGGCGGGGAUGACGUCAAAUCAUCAUGCCCCUUAUGGCCUGGGCUACACACGUACUACAAUGGCGGCUACAAAGAGCAGCGAGACAGGGAUGUCGAGCGAAUCUCAUAAAAGCCGUCCCAGUUCGGAUUGGAGGCUGCAACCCGCCUCCAUGAAGUUGGAAUCGCUAGUAAUCGCGGAUCAGCAUGCCGCGGUGAAUACGUUCCCGGGCCUUGUACUCACCGCCCGUCAAG